AGCGAAGUGGCGCAGUGGAAGCGCGCUGGGCUCAUAACCCAGAGGUCGAUGGGUCGAAACCAUUCUUCGCUA
rnacentral:tRNA from 1 species